GGCACCUUCGGUGUCCGAGUUGUAAUUUGAAGAAGGUAACUUUGGAGUUGGCUCUUGUCUAUGUUCCUUGGAACAGGACGUCACAGAGGGUGAGAAUCCCGUGCGAUGAGAUGUCCAACUCUAUGUAAAGUGCUUUCGAAGAGUCGAGUUGUUUGGGAAUGCAGCUCUAAGUGGGUGGUAAAUUCCAUCUAAAGCUAAAUAUUGGCGAGAGACCGAUAGCGAACAAGUACAGUGAUGGAAAGAUGAAAAGAACUUUGAAAAGAGAGUGAAAAAGUACGUGAAAUUGUUGAAAGGGAAGGGUUUGAGAUCAGACUUGGUAUUUUGUAUGUCUUGCUUUCGGGUGGGGCCUCUGCAGUU
rnacentral:rRNA from 1 species